rnacentral:lncRNA from 1 species
CUUGCAAUUGCACUUCAGUCUCUGAGGAGCGUGGGACUGACACACUGUGACAUAAAGCUGGACAAUAUUAUGUUAGUGGACCAUGAAAAGCAGCCUUUCAGAGUCAAACUUAUUGACUUUGGCCUUGCUGGGGUUGCAUCCACUAUACCACAGGGCUCAGUUAUACAGGCCCUCUGUUUCAGGUAAUUAUUUUUACAAAUGUUUAAAAUCCUGGAAAUCUAUAAACAACCAACUGUAAAAAGCAAAUUAACACCCUUUUAUAAGGUCUCCAGAGGUCCUUUUGGGUCUUCCGUUGACAGAGGCUGUGGACAUUUGGUCUUUGGGCUGUGUGGUUGGAAAGUUACACCUUGGGAAUCGGCUGUUUGAUGGGUACAAUGAGUAUGACGUGAUGAGGAGCAUUGUGGAGCUACUAGGUCAACCUCCAAAUCGAAUGCUGGAUGCAGGGAAAAAAACGAAGCAAUACUUUAAGAAAAGCAUGUUUGCAUGGAAUCAAUCAUGGAAACUAAAGACAGGCAGAAGAGCAGGACAUAAUUUUCUGGAUUCUCUGGAUGACAUUUUAUGCGCCUUCCCUACUAAAGGCAGUGAAAAUUCAGAACUUGGUCUUUUUGUGAACAUGUUAAAGAAAAUGCUUGACGUAGAUCCUGCUACACGCAUUACUCCAGCUCAACUGCUGCAACAUGGUUUUCUGACAAACACUGAGGUGGGGACUACCUCUGAAGAGCUAGAGGUUACUGCCAGCCAGGAAACUGGACAGACGUUGCAGUCGCAGUGUGAAACCCCCCAGAAGAACCAAGAGAGCCAAUUAAAAACAGGGCAGAAAAGAAAGCAUGAGUCUAAAAAUGAUGAUCCAACUUGUCACGACUCCAAGCGGCCUAAAAUUCAGUCAAGGUGACACCAAGAAAGGACACAGAAAUAAAUGCUGUGAACUCCACUAUUCAGAGGAAGUUGCCUGAUGGGAAGGAUGGUGGGCCUCAUUGCUCCACCUCGAUGGCCGUGCCCAGGUUCAGCCAAAAAACUUUGAAAAGAAGAAGGAAAUAUGCAGGCAGUAAAGGAGAGAAAAAGUAACAGACUCCCUGAACACAUAUGUUUGGGGUACAGUCCCAUCUGGUCUUUCAAUCACGUAUUAACCCCGAAUUACAAUAAAGGAAGCUGAUUUCAUUAUUUUAAACAUUAGUUUCUGUUAUUUUCAAGACCAUAAAGUGUUUACAGAAAAACAACAAAUUGGUGCAUUCAAAUUACCGUAUUUUCUGGACUAUAUGUCGCUCCGGAGUUUAAGUCGCACUAGCCAAAAAAAAUGCAUAAUAAAGAACAAAAAUAGAUAUAUAAGUCGCACUGGACUAUAAGUCGCAUUUUGGGGGGAAAAUUAAUUUGAUAAAAUCCGAGACCAAGAACAUACGUUUCAUCUUGAAAGGCAAUUAGCAUGGAUUAGCAAUAGGGUUACGGUAUGCUAACGUAACAAAUUCAGCUACAUGGCCCACAACGAACUGAGUAUGUGUGUGCUUUGUUAACGUAACAUAUUAACAGUUAUUCAGAUAAUUAUAGCAUAAAGAACAUCCGAGCAAGUUUACCAAACAAUCAAGUCUAACUCCAUAGACGAAGCACCGCUUCUUCUGCGUCGUUCCUCAGGUACACACGCCUAGAGCCUCUCUUGUGGUUGUCAGUGUGAAAAUAACGAACAUGUGAAAUUCUGUAAUAAUGUAUUUAUUUAAGUCGCUCCGGAGUACAAGUCGCACCCCCUGACAAACUAUGAAAAAAAGUGCAACUUAUAGUCCAGAAAUACGGUAAUAUAAUUAUUAUUUGGGAACUUAUUCCCUUUUUUGUUGUGCCUGAGGAAAAGUUGACCGAUUUUUACUCUGUUCCAUUUACUCUGCCUAUUGUUGCGCACAAAAUUGGAUUAACAAUAUUUAAAAUGUUUUUUCAAAUAUUUUAUUCUUCGAAGAUAAAAACAUUGCAAAAAUAACAUAAUUUAAGAGGCAAAAAAUGUUUUAUCCCAACUUUCUGGGCAAUAGUGAUAUAAAGCUGAUGUAUAAGUAGUUUGUAUACAGUUGCUAAAACAGACAGGAAACAGCUAAUAAAUGCUUGAGAUAUGUUUCAUAAAGAUACACAACUUGUACUUGUAUUCAUCUAUUUUUAAUUAAUCCUGCACAAUCAUCAACACAAUCAUCCUUAGCAGAUGUAUGUGUUGCUCUCACCAGUGUUUUCAGUGUAAAUCACCACAGUAAUUAUACAGAAAAUAAUCAGCCACCUUCUCUCAGUGUUUUUCUCUCAGGUGAUCAUGUUUCUGGACCCCGGCAGCCUUGGCCUUGAGUAGCAUAACUAAGAUGUUAACCGAAUAAUUAGACAACCCCCUAAGUAUGAUAAUUUGUCUGUCUAGGAUAGUAACUACAACUCCAGAAUUAUUGACAAUAAGCUUUUUCAAAGAGGUAGGUUUUAAGCCUAAUUUUAAAAGUAGAGAUGGAGUCAGCCUCCCAUACCUGGACAAGAAGCUGGUUCCAUAGCAGGGGGGCCUGGUAGCUAAAUGCUCGGCCCCCCAUUCUACCUCUAGAGACUCUAG